CCUGGAGUCCCGAGCAGGGCGGGCAGGAAGCGCCCUUCCGAGCAGGGAGGGCUUCAGGCCGCGAGGGGUCAGCGGGCCUGCUGUGGGGUCGUUGUCGUGUUGGCGUCUAUUUCGCCACGGUUGCCACAAGGCCGGUGGUCAGUCGCCUCUUGCCGGAGAAUGUGGCCCUGACUGCUCCCCUGGCGUUUUCCAGAGCAUUCUUCCCCUCUUCCCCUCCCCAAGCCUGAGAGGGGCGAAAAGUGGCGGGCUUUCGUGGAGGGCUUUUUCGGGCCUGGGCCUGGGGUGGGGUUAGGGACGGUGGGGUAGACAGGUGGCUCUUUAUGGCCGGGGAGAGUGAGUGAGUGAAGCACGACCCGCCACAAGAUUUGAGGGGCCCCGUGCAAAGGGCGAGUUGCAGGUCCCCUGUUCAAAAGUGACCAAGAAUUCGGGCCGCGAAGGUGUCCGCACAGGGGCCUGCUGCUCGGCCUCCAGAACUAGCCCCUGGGACCUCCCUUACCAAGGACCCUCGUGUGGUCUCCCUUCUUGGCUUUCAUGAUCAGAGCCACGUGCCUUCCCGGGAGCUUCUGGGUGCGGCUUCACCUUUCCAGGCCGGCUCCGCUGCCCUUAAGCUUCAAAACCCACUUGAAACCAUUGGGGGAGCAUCGUUAAGCGCCCAGUUGGACAUGACGCUUGAAGCCUGCAGCUGUCUUUCCCCUGGCAUCUCCUCCGAGGCUGGCAGGAUGCUGGAGUAACAAGACUGAAAGCAGCCCCUUCAGCCAGGCACCUGGAAGAAACAGGUGAAGAAGUGGAAGCCUAAGAGUUUGAAUGCCUUGACUGAGACUAAUUUGCUGACUGGGAGAACUCUUCCUUGCCCAGCUGGCCAGGGAACGUCUGAGAAGAGGCUAGAACCUUCAUUUUGCAAACACGUAAGACCUCUGCAUCUCCUCGAGAAGAUUUCUUCUUGUUUUCAUUUCUGUUCAAACACCUGGGGUGAGGACAGACAUCUACAUUGCCAAGCAGAAGAAACAGAAUUUGUGACUGAAGUGGAUCUGCUAGGAGUGGCUCUUCACAACAUAAAGGGAGGCCCCUUUUAAUUCUUGUCGUGGAAUGAAGAAUUGAAUUCAAGAACAAAAAAUUUAGAAGACAUGGGCUGUAACAUUUCAUCUGCAACGAAGGACAGUAAGUCUGAGAUAGCGCUGAAAGCCGCACUUAUCAUCCAGAACUGGUACCGAAGUUACAGCGCUCGGCUGAAGGCCCGACAGCGCUAUGCCCUCACCAUCUUCCAGUCCAUUGAAUAUGCUGAUGAGCAAGGACAACUGCAACUAUCCAAUUUUUUUUCGUUCUUGUUGGAUAACUACACACACGUAAAUCAAAAUGACCCAGAAUUCGUGACUCGAUUAUAUGGUAGAACCGUCCAAGACAUCAAGGAUAGACAUGACUUUGUGGGGUUGAUAGAAGUCCCGGAUUCCUAUACUGGUCCUCGGCUACAAUUCCCUCUCACCGACACUGAUAUUGAUUUGCUUCUUGAGGCCUUCAAACAACAACAGAUACUUCAUGCUUAUUAUGUCUUAGAGGUGCUGUUUGAAGCCAGGAAAGCCCUGAAGCAAAUGCCGAAUUUCACUCAUACAAAAACUUCUGCCUCCAAAGAGAUAACAAUCUGUGGUGAUUUGCAUGGGAAACUGGAUGAUCUUUUUUUGAUCUUCUAUAAGAAUGGUCUCCCCUCAGGAAGCAACCCCUAUGUCUUUAAUGGUGAUUUUGUAGAUCGAGGAAAAAAUUCCAUAGAAAUUCUCAUGAUCCUGUUUGUGAGUUUUCUUGUCUAUCCCAAUGACAUGCAUUUGAACAGAGGGAACCAUGAAGAUUUCCUGAUGAAUUUGAGGUAUGGCUUUACAAAGGAGAUUUUACAUAAAUAUAAGAUACAUGGGAAAAAAAUCUUGCAAGUCUUGGAAGACGUCUAUACCUGGCUCCCCAUUGGUACAAUCAUUGACAAUGAAAUCCUGGUCAUACAUGGUGGAAUAUCAGAGUCCACAGAUUUGAAUUUACUCCACCACAUAGAAAGAAACAAGAUGAAAUCUGUGCUAAUGCCACCAGUUACUAUUGAUGAAGAUCUUGUUGACCUAAAGAAAAAUAGAACGGGUUCAACUGCUAUUGGCUCUGGACGCAAAUUGAAUGGAUGCCUUUCUGAGCAGUUAACAAAGCGUGAAUGGGAGCAGGUUGUCGAUAUUUUGUGGAGUGAUCCCAGAGGCAAAAGGGGCUGCUUCCCGAACACAAGUAGAGGUGGGGGCUGCUAUUUUGGACCAGAUAUUACAUCCAAGAUUCUGAAUAAAUACCAGUUGAAGUUGCUUGUUAGAUCUCAUGAAUGCAAGCCUGAAGGGUAUGAAAUCUGUCAUGAUGGGAAGGUUAUUACUGUCUUUUCUGCUUCUAAUUAUUAUGAAGAAGGCAGCAAUCGAGGAGCUUACAUCAGGGUAGCUUCUGGGUCAGCCCCUCGAUUUUUCCAAUACCAAGUAACUAAGACAACAUGUGCGAGGCCUCUUUAUCAAAGGGUGAGGAUUAUGGAAAGUAGUGCCAUCAGGAUAUUAAAAGAGAAAAUGAUUUCACGAAAAACUGACCUUGUUAAUGCUUUCCAGCUUCAAGAUCGCAAUAAAUCAGGAAAACUUUCAAUGAGCCAGUGGGCUUUUUCUAUGGAGAAUGUUUUGGGGCUGAACUUACCUUGGAGGUCCCUGAGUACACAUCUGGUGGAAACAGAUGAGGAUGGAAAUAUUGACUACAUGUCCACCUUCCAGGAUCUCCACAUUAUAAAACCUGUGAAAGAGGCCCACUCUACCCUAAUUGAAAUUCUGUACAGAUACCGAUCUGACCUGCAAAUCAUCUAUAAUAUCAUUGACUCUGACCACUCAGGCCUGGUCUCCAUAGAAGAAUUUCGCUCCAUGUGGAAACUUUUUAAUAGUCACUAUAGUGUGCAUAUUGAAGAUUCCCAAGUCGAUGAACUUACCGAAAGAAUGGACUUAAACAAAGAUGGAAGCAUUGACUUUAAUGAGUUUUUAAAGGCCUUCUACGUAGUGCAUAAAUUGGAUAAGUCGAACAAAUCAGAAAGCAGCAAUCCUUAACAAGAAUUAGGGCUUUCCCCCUUAAACAGUUGGGCCCAAGCCAUUGGCACAUCUUUUCCAGAAUCCUUAAAAUUCAUAGUCAGUAGUCAAGAAAAGUAGGUCCCAACUCACUCUACAAGCAGAUGUCUGGUGUGGGUAUUAGCAGUCGCUAGUAAGCUGUUAUUGAUAAGACUAAGUUAAAUGUCAGCUAAUAGCAUUUGGCUCCAGUGUUAGGACCCACACAUUGCCAGAUAGAAACUGGAUUUGAGCUUAGUGUUGGUGUUUUAGAUACCACCUAGCAGGAGAUCAGAAGAAUUUCAAAGCCUUUGAAAAGAACCCACAGGGAAAUAGAGAAAAGCACAACAUCUGUGAAUGGCUACAAUGGAAAGCUAAACUAUUAAUGGAAUAAAAUACUUCGAUCUUCAAAUUGUAAUCUUCUUUGGAGAUACUCAUCUGCCUGCCUCACCUGGAAGCUUGUUAGAAAUGCAGAGUCCCAGGCUCUACUGCACACCUACUGAAUCAGAAUAUGGAUUUUAACCAGAGCACCAGGUCAUUUGGACAUACAUUCAGUUUGAGAGAAGAAGGUGCAAGGAACUUCGGAUCCAUCCACUGAAGGCUCCCGGGAUCCGUGCAAGCAUACAAGUGAGAAGUGAGGUGACAGCAUUGGAGCUUGCCUGCAUAUGUGUGCUGAGUGAGCAAGUACUAUCAUCCCCACUUGACAACUGAGGAAAUUCACAAAGCGACUGUCAUCCAGGCCACACCGCUACAAAAGAACCUGUCAGAACCCAAAGCCCAUAUUUCUGGCUAAAGACUCAGAAGCAUAGCUGUCACAAUCGUUUCAUCUUGUCCCAGAUGGGCUGUCACUUGGAGUCCAGGAAAAGGCUAAUGAGGCUGGAGGAUGGUCAUGAAAAACAUGAGGCAAGUUGGCAUGU